AACGACAUCGAAAGCUUGCUUUUGAUGGGCGUCGACCGGCGCACGGGUGAGUAACGCGUAUCUAUUUUUGCCCACCACUUGGGGAUAACCUUGCGAAAGUAAGACUAAUACCCAAUGAUAUCUCUAGAAGACAUCUGAAGGAGAUUAAAGAUUUAUCGGUGAUGGAUGGGGAUGCGUCUGAUUAGCUUGUUGGCGGGGUAACGGCCCACCAAGGCGACGAUCAGUAGGGGUUCUGAGAGGAAGGUCCCCCACAUUGGAACUGAGACACGGUCCAAACUCCUACGGGAGGCAGCAGUGAGGAAUAUUGGUCAAUGGACGAGAGUCUGAACCAGCCAAGUAGCGUGCAGGAUGACGGCCCUAUGGGUUGUAAACUGCUUUUAUAAGGGAAUAAAGUGAGUCUCGUGAGACUUUUUGCAGGUACCGCAUGAAUAAGGACCGGCUAAUUCCGUGCCAGCAGCCGCGGUAAUACGGAAGGUCCGGGCGUUAUCCGGAUUUAUUGGGUUUAAAGGGAGCGUAGGCCGGAGAUUAAGCGUGUUGUGAAAUGUAGAUGCUCAACAUCUGCACUGCAGCGCGAACUGGUUUCCUUGAGUACGCACAAAGUGGGCGGAAUUCGUGGUGUAGCGGUGAAAUGCUUAGAUAUCACGAAGAACUCCGAUUGCGAAGGCAGCUCACUGGAGCGCAACUGACGCUGAAGCUCGAAAGUGCGGGUAUCGAACAGGAUUAGAUACCCUGGUAGUCCGCACGGUAAACGAUGGAUGCCCGCUGUUGGUCUGAAUAGGUCAGCGGCCAAGCGAAAGCAUUAAGCAUCCCACCUGGGGAGUACGCCGGCAACGGUGAAACUCAAAGGAAUUGACGG
rnacentral:rRNA from 1 species